rnacentral:rRNA from 1 species
UACGUAGGGUGCGAGCGUUAAUCGGAAUUACUGGGCGUAAAGCGUGCGCAGGCGGUUUGAUAAGUCAGAUGUGAAAUCCCCGGGCUUAACCUGGGAACUGCGUUUGAAACUAUCAGGCUAGAGUGUGGCAGAGGGGGGUAGAAUUCCACGUGUAGCAGUGAAAUGCGUAGAGAUGUGGAGGAAUACCGAUGGCGAAGGCAGCCCCCUGGGCCGAUACUGACGCUCAGGCACGAAAGCGUGGGGAGCAAACAGG